CUUCCGUAGGGGAACCUGCGGAGGGAUCAUUACCGAGUUUACAACUCCCAAACCCCUGUGAACAUACCACUUGUUGCCUCGGCGGAUCAGCCCGCUCCCGGUAAAACGGGACGGCCCGCCAGAGGACCCCUAAACUCUGUUUCUAUAUGUAACUUCUGAGUAAAACCAUAAAUAAAUCAAAACUUUCAACAACGGAUCUCUUGGUUCUGGCAUCGAUGAAGAACGCAGCAAAAUGCGAUAAGUAAUGUGAAUUGCAGAAUUCAGUGAAUCAUCGAAUCUUUGAACGCACAUUGCGCCCGCCAGUAUUCUGGCGGGCAUGCCUGUUCGAGCGUCAUUUCAACCCUCAAGCCCUCGGGUUUGGUGUUGGGGAUCGGCGAGCCCUUUGCGGCAAGCCGGCCCCGAAAUCUAGUGGCGGUCUCGCUGCAGCUUCCAUUGCGUAGUAGUAAAACCCUCGCAACUGGUACGCGGCGCGGCCAAGCCGUUAAACCCCCAACUUCUGAAUGUUGACCUCGGAUCAGGUAGGAAUACCCGCUGAACUUAAGCAUAUCAAUAAGCGGAGGAA
rnacentral:rRNA from 1 species